AUUGAACGCUGGCGGCAGGCCUAACACAUGCAAGUCGAGCGGAUGAAGGGAGCUUGCUCCUGGAUUCAGCGGCGGACGGGUGAGUAAUGCCUAGGAAUCUGCCUGGUAGUGGGGGAUAACGUCCGGAAACGGGCGCUAAUACCGCAUACGUCCUGAGGGAGAAAGUGGGGGAUCUUCGGACCUCACGCUAUCAGAUGAGCCUAGGUCGGAUUAGCUAGUUGGUGGGGUAAAGGCCUACCAAGGCGACGAUCCGUAACUGGUCUGAGAGGAUGAUCAGUCACACUGGAACUGAGACACGGUCCAGACUCCUACGGGAGGCAGCAGUGGGGAAUAUUGGACAAUGGGCGAAAGCCUGAUCCAGCCAUGCCGCGUGUGUGAAGAAGGUCUUCGGAUUGUAAAGCACUUUAAGUUGGGAGGAAGGGCAGUAAGUUAAUACCUUGCUGUUUUGACGGUAUCAACAGAAUAAGCACCGGCUAACUUCGUG
rnacentral:rRNA from 1 species